UUGAACGCUGGCGGCAUGCCUUACACAUGCAAGUCGAACGGCAGCACGGGUGCUUGCACCUGGUGGCGAGUGGCGAACGGGUGAGUAAUACAUCGGAACAUGUCCUGUAGUGGGGGAUAGCCCGGCGAAAGCCGGAUUAAUACCGCAUACGAUCUACGGAUGAAAUCGGGGGACCUUCGGGCCUCGCGCUAUAGGGUUGGCCGAUGGCUGAUUAGCUAGUUGGUGGGGUAAAGGCCUACCAAGGCGACGAUCAGUAGCUGGUCUGAGAGGACGACCAGCCACACUGGGACUGAGACACGGCCCAGACUCCUACGGGAGGCAGCAGUGGGGAAUUUUGGACAAUGGGCGAAAGCCUGAUCCAGCAAUGCCGCGUGUGUGAAGAAGGCCUUCGGGUUGUAAAGCACUUUUGUCCGGAAAGAAAUCCUUGGCCCUAAUACGGUCGGGGGAUGACGGUACCGGAAGAAUAAGCACCGGCUAACUACGU
rnacentral:rRNA from 1 species